AGUGAACGCUGGCGGUAGGCCUAACACAUGCAAGUCGAACGGCAGCACAGUAAGAGCUUGCUCUUACGGGUGGCGAGUGGCGGACGGGUGCGGAAUACAUCCGAAUCUACUUUUUCGUAGGGGCUAACGUAGGGAAACUUACGCCAAUACCGCAUACGACCUACGGGUGAAAGCAUGGGAUCUUCGGAUCUUGCGCGAUUGAAUGAGCCGAUGUCGGAUUAGCUAGUUGGCGGGGUAAAGGCCCACCAAGGCGACGAUCCGUAGCUGGUCUGAGAGGAUGAUCAGCCACACUGGAACUGAGACACGGUCCAGACUCCUACGGGAGGCAGCAGUGGGGAAUAUUGGACAAUGGGCGCAAGCCUGAUCCAGCCAUACCGCGUGUGUGAAGAAGGCCUUCGGGUUGUAAAGCACUUUUGUUGGGAAAGAAAAGCAGCAGGUUAAUACCCCGCUGUUCUGACGGUACCAAAAGAAUAAGCACCGGCUAACUUCGUG
rnacentral:rRNA from 1 species